rnacentral:rRNA from 1 species
UACGUAGGGGGCAAGCGUUGUCCGGAAUUAUUGGGCGUAAAGAGCGCGUAGGCGGUCCGAUAAGUCGGCUGUGAAAGUCAGGGGCUCAACCCUUGGAAGCCGGCCGAUACUGUCGGACUAGAGUCCGGAAGAGGCGAGUGGAAUUCCCGGUGUAGCGGUGAAAUGCGCAGAUAUCGGGAGGAACACCAAUGGCGAAGGCAGCUCGCUGGGACGGUACUGACGCUGAGACGCGAAAGCGUGGGGGGCAAACAGG